AGGGAGCACAUGGGCAAAGGAUGCUGUUACCCAUGCAGACCCCAAACUAAUGGCCAAGAGCUUCGUUGGCAGAAGAAACUCAACAGCAGUACAGUCCACAAACAUGAAAAGCAGCACUUGGUCCAUGACAAGAGAGUGCCUUCAAAAUUUUCUUCUGGGGCAGGGGGAUUUGAACCUAGGUCAUAGCAGUUCUUUCACUGGGAGCAGAAAAAAAAAAUAAAAAAAAUAUAAAACCACACACACAACCUCUUCUGCAUAUGGAAAUACCACCAUCAACAACACACUUGUGCUGUAAAUUUCUGGGUUAGCUUCUAGCCUCUUCCUUCCUACACAGCCCCAAACUGACCUCUGAAAUCCCAUAGGAAGUAAUGGAAAUUUCUUAAAUUCUUCCCUAUAAGAACAGUUUGCCCUGUGCCAAGCCAGGAUUGCAAAUAUUUAAAGAACUCUCCCAGUUGCAGCUGGUUUAGGUCACUUUGUAAGAGUCACUUAGAGACCAAGAAUUAUUUUAAUAAGUCAGGAUUUCUUGGUAUUCAGCUGCUGCAUAUAGGAAUCAGGAGAGGAAUUAUAUUCAUUUUAGGCAUGCAUUUGUAGUCUCUAAGGCAGAAGCCAUUCCUUGAAAGCUGAAAGGCCGUUUUGCGAGUGCUCUGAUCCUCAUGGACUUGGUCAGUGCAAAUCCAGAGGGUCACAACAGAGAAGGAGGCAGGGGACCCUGCCCUCCGGCUGUUUAAUGGGCAUGCAGCUAGCAAGCGGCUCCUAAAUCUGCACUCUAGCAUCUUAGCAGCAUCUAGACACCAGAUUAACACCAGCUGAGCUAAGUUCUUCAUAAAAAAAAAAUCCUUUGUAAGGUGAUCCGAUACUCUGUAGGGCCCCUGCAGGGUGCACUGCUGGUAGGAUUUGUGCAUUAAUGCACAGUUAUAAAACGGGGCUCCCGAUUUAUGCCAGUGACGGUGAACACUGUGUUAAAACCAUUACUGACACCAAUAAUAAACUGCACGGAGCUCUCCUUACCCCGAGGAGCUUCUUUAAAUGAGGAAUUCCCAGUCUGAACAAAGGAACCGUGCAUCACUCUGGUAUUGGUUUUCCCUCCCCCAAAGCAAGCAGAAUUUAGGGUGAAGAAAAACAUUCGGGAUUACUCCAAGCCCUAGGAAAACAAAGAAAUUAAGCUGGCCAAGGGAAUGAUUUAUCCACCACUGCUCUAAGCGAGCUGGUGGUGUGCAUAUUGUAUGUCCGUGCGUACACACACAAUAGGCUCGGUCAGUUUACGUGCUACGUUCACACACUUUGCUAGCAAGCGAGCGUCUCAAAGGCAGCAGUGGCCAUUUCACAAGAGCAAACAAGGUGGGAGGAGAGCAGGUGGCUCGGUUUUGCCAGCACUGGCCCUCUGCCCUUGGCUCCUCUUCUGAGAUUUGCUGUCACCAUCAGCAGUGCAGAUCUGGCCGAUAGCAGACAGCAAGAAUGAGGUGUAAAGGAAAUCUGCCUUCAACUUCACGAGCUUUGUUUUCCUGUAAAACAGUGAUCGGGACCAAAGAUAGCUCAGGUAAAUAAUUCACCCAGAAGGAAGGGGCGCUUCAGCUAGCGCUGACUUUCUCAAGUGCUCACCUCUCGAUUUGAGCAUGCAAAGCGGUAGGCACAGCAGGAUUCAGCGCCAGAAAAAGCCUUGUAGCAAUUUGCCUCCGACAGACUGAAUUGCAAACUCGAGAAACGCUCCCAAAGAAACAAAAACCGCUGCAACGCGUGUGCGCAGCGAAGGCAGCCCGGCGCAUCCACGUGCAUCCCGCUCUGUAUCAGGUAUUUCCGCCGAGAUUAAAUCUCGCCCAGCCUGCCAUGGCACUCUCCCUCUCCAAAACCAACAGUCAAUUCAUUGUUGAGCAAGCUAUUAAAGGGACAAACAGCACCCUCCGUAGUUAAACAGACUAAGUGUCUGCUAUUGUGAUCCCACUUAAUGUUACAGCAGUUAGUCCCGAGAGUUUUGCUAAAUCCAGGCUGCUUCUCCGUAGCCUUUUCUGUGUGGUCCCCUACCGGAGAGUUUUCCCCCUUUUUUCCCCUCUCAGUUACAGGAGUUGUGCCAUUUAAAGGCUGUUGUUGCAAAACGAAAAGCACAUGUUCUUUCUUGUGGGGACGAGAAGCCAGUUGCCGAGCCGCUGUGUCUUCUUGGAACCAGGCUGGGUUAUGUGGGUGCCCUCUGGGGAGAUGGGGAGGGCAGAGGGGAACGGCAGACAGCAAAGCCUGUACACCCAGGAACUCCUAUCCCACCCAGAAUCUGGUUCAUUUAAGCUCCCAUCAUGGACUUCAUUGAUUUGCGUGAAGCUGAUGUUCAUUUGAGUCGGUGUCUUGCUACGCAGCAGCCUAGCGUCAAGAAGGAGAAGGAAUAAAGCAGACGAAGAGGAGCAGCAGCUCUCUCUCCCCAGGCUGCGUGCCAGGACAGGGAACAGCUCCCUGGAAAGUCAGCUUUGUUCCAGGGCUCACAGGCAGCGUGUAAAGCACGGUUCUGCCAAGAUGCACCGCAUAAAGAUUAGAGGAGGUCAGCUGGAGAUCGCAGGAUCAAGUUUUCAUACGACAAAUGUUUCUGUGUUGAGAGAGAAAUAUUUUUCCCCUUAAGUUUGGGUAGGAAGUGUUAAACAUACAAGAGGCUGCACUUAGAGUAUCUAGAAAGUGCUUAAAACCCCUGGGGAAUGGAUUACAAGCAAUGCUGUGAAUACAGCUAGCACAGGCUCGGGAAAAGGCAGAAUUGGUGUGGCGUGAGCGUGAACUCCAGAAACAGCCUGAGAAACAAACUGACCCGUGGAAAGAGCCAGCACAAGAGAGACAACGGCAUUUCAAGCAUUCACCAAUUUUUCAUUGCCCAACAGUCUUAGUGGAAAGAAGACAACCAAAAAUAGAGUGUGCUCAGAGGCAGUGCUCGAUGCCCCAUAUAAAUUCCAGGAGAUGCUGCUGGAAACCCCGGUGUUUGGGCAGCAGGAGGACGUUCGAGCCCCUGCGCCAGCCUCCUCCACCAAAUACCAAGAGCCAGCUCGGCCGGAGCCGCAGCUGUCGCUUCAGCAGGGGACAAGCUCAGCUAUGCAGCCUUUGUUGAAAUAAACCCAAAAAUAACAGUUAGUGCCACCUAGGGACCAGAGCUCAGGCAGGGAGACAGGAGAGCCACACCACAAACAAAGGACGUCAGCGGCUGAUGCACUCCUCGCACGGAUGAGAAGUCAGACCGCAGCAAGGAGAGGCUCUGCUCUGGUUAAAUAACACCGGGAAGGCACCAGGGUAGGUGAAGCUUUCACAAAAGGUUGCUGAAGCGCGGAUUUGACUCCGUGCUGCUGCUCUCCCAACCUGGGCAGAGCAUCGCUCGGCUCCCAGAUACUCCGGGCUCUUUGGUUCAGCUGGCGGAGGGGAGCGAUGUUUCUAGAUCAGCGUUUAUGUAAGAGCGGCGUCUAUUUAGCAGUAAGUUAGAGCCCUCAUCUGCACUACUCAUCCCUUGUAAUCAGGAGGCCAGGUUGCAGAUUCCUGCAAUGAAUUUUUCCUAGUGCGAACCCAGCUCUAGACACCUGACAGCAGUUCAUGAUGGGGCUGGACCUGCAGACAGCGAGGGAUAUCUGGCAAGACCCAACAUUUAUUUAACUAAAGAACUUUGCCAUGGAGAGCAAACACAGCUUCUGAACAGAGCACAGGCUGCCUCCCCGCUCACAAAUACGAGCUAAAGCUCUGCACCGUCUUGUCCAGCGCUGCUUCCCUUACCUAUCUCAUCUCCUUGGACCUCGCAGGGUUUGUCUUAAGCUACUAACUGGAUCAGAUUUGUCACCCCGAGCCCUUUCCACAGAUGAUCCCACGACCUAAUACAGCACAGCCAGCGUCUGCUGAGAGAGGCAUUUCUGCAGGUGCGCAGUGAUUAAUUGGUGCACAUUUCCAUAUCACAAAUAAAAAAGACUUCUCGGCUUGGUUGAAACGCAGUAUAUUAACCUUUGAAACUGGCAGUCAUGGAUACCAGCUUCAAAAAGAUUAAUAUCAAUAAGACAAAAUCCCAGAGGAGAGCAUCGCGCUGCUGCCAGUUUUUCUGGAGCUUUACAAAAUAAGGCGUUUUGAGACUUCAUUUAAGGUCGUGUAUUUCCACGUUUGCUUUAUAAAGACAACCCCAAGCUGUUCAGAUUUGUGGGCAGAACCCAAGUACUGGGGGCAGGGGGAAAGGGGAACCUGGAAGUCGAGGAAAGCUGUGGGUACGUAUGGAGAGACUCGGAGGAAGGGGCAGGAACCGUGCUUCAUUUGGACCGCUGCCAUUGCCGCGGCUAAUUGCUGAGAGUCGUCCUCUGUGAAAAAGGUUCGUUACUGAAAGAAAUAAUACAGCUCCGUUAGCUCGGCACGUUCUGCAGGUCCACAGAGGCACAGCUGCAGGUCAACGCGGGGCACGCAGUAAAUCUUCUGGGCGAGAUGCAGCAGCAGCUUGGGGAUGCACAGGAGCCAGACCUCGCCCCUGCGUUCUGCCUCCACCACGGACUGCAUCAGAAAGGAGCUCAUAAUCAUUAAGCUGCCAUCUUUUAUUUCUAAUUAUUUGUCUCCACAGCAGGGUUCCUGCAACCAUCCAGUACAAGGGAAGCAAGUCUCAAAGGAGUAACUGUUUUGAAGAGGGCUUGCAGCUGCCACCACAUGAAUGGCUCUCCAAGAACAGUGGCAACUGCUACGCACUGCCCACAGAGCGGGGGAAAGCAUCUCUGUCUCGGCUGGUUUUCAAUGUUGAUUUUUAGGUCAACGAAAACAGCUUUUCUUAUGCAACAAGGCAUACAGAAAGCCCACUUGCCUUGAGUUUUCGCUUUCAUUUAAUUAGAUGGUAAUUCAGAAGGCAGCACCGCUAUUUUGAACACCACAAUGAGAACGAUUUCACUGCCUUACAAAGCGACGAAGUAAAACCACUGAGCUAAGCCAGCCCCAGAACCUGACACCGCUUUGGAUUCUGAUAGUCUCUUCUGACAGAGGGGGACAAGGAAAGGGAUACCCUGCUACCACGUUUCCUAGAGAGAUUCAAAGUAGAAAAUGUCACUGAAAGGCAGAAAAGCAGCAGACCUUACUUCCUCUUCGAGCUACAUUGGAAAUUAAGAAUUAUGGAAAAGCCCAAGUUUGUCGAACACAACAGCUGUUCAGCAGCUCCACGUCGUAAUUAAGCAAGAGACAAAUAAUUUCCUAAACAGAUAAACAUUGAGAUCCCAACAUACAACUCCCAGUAUCACCAGUGUCAACGUACAGGAGGACACAGCCCAGCAGCAGGCAGUUAGCAGCCACACUGUGCUUAUCACCUCCUUUACAACAAACAGCUCUGAACGUUUUUUUUUUUUUUCCCCAGACAGCUUGCAUCUUCCCUGACCUCACUUAAGAUUUCCUGACAGGCUUCAAAUGAUGGCAACGUAUGUGAAUCUUAGCUUGAAGGUCAAGCACACAGCCUCAGACAUCGCAGGCUCCUCUUGCACUUGCAUCCUCAGCAUUUUUCUCAUGGUUUCUGCCCUCCAGCUUCUCGCAGCACGGAAGAAGCUUCACGGAGGCUGCUGGUGUGUUACUUUUAGGACCAAUGCCCAACACUCCUAUCAGGCCAGGAGAGAAGAUUCCCUCACUACAGCUCCCAUGCAUUUUACCUUUACCUCAGAGGUAAGCCAGGCUUAAAGAUGGAAAGGCAACCUGAGCCGGCUGAUUCCUCUGCUGGGUGAAGGUCAGGGCUAUCCCUGAUCCAGUGAAACUGGACCACACAACCUUUAUCUUUGCCAUCUCUAACAAAGUACCACUUGGCCUUCUUGUUUGCUGACCAAGAUUAAGACCAAGUAUUCACCAAGCAGCAGAUUUCAUCCACUAUCAGGGUCAAAACCCCAAAAGCUUAUAAGCAGCAGGGACGCUGAAAGCCUCUGCACUCUGUGCCGUACAUGGUGAGCAACAGACUGCUCAUACAGACAAAACUCACUGUGAGACUACUCCGGGGAGAGCAAAGCAGGGGCUGUUCAGGUUACCAGCUGUCCCCAGGGAAGAAAUUCACCCCUGACCAGAGACAAGGUCUUUCACCACUCACACACAGAGAUCUACACCAGAACAGGACCAGAAUCAGCUUCACCCCGCACCAACCAUCAAGGACACUGUAUUUUUCAAAGCUUUGCCUUCUCAAACAACUCUGCAGUAGCAGUACUGUCCCGCACAGUCCCUGCUGCGCUUCUUACGCAGGGCAGACGAGAUGCACGCACGGUGCUGCAUUCACCACGUCCUGCUGCAGGUCUGACCACGAUGGAGGAAGACCCCGGUGUCCCCUGGUGCAGGGCGCCCUGGUGCAGUCACAGCCGCGCGAGCGAGCCCUUGCAUGUUGCCCCAGAUGCCAGCUCCUGGCCAGCACGAAGCCAGCCUGCAGGUUUUAACAGCACCUCGCAGCCAGGUGCAGGGGUAGGCACCAACCCCCUGCUGCAAAGCCACAGGAAUCAACCCCACCGAGAUGAUUUUCCCCCAUGCAGAGAAAGAUCUCCGUGAGUGCCUGCCGCAAACACCAGUGCCCACUGCUCCAAGCUCGACGUGCAUUUCCCCUCUUCUCCUGCCAGAAGGGCCUCGGGCUGCUCUCUGUACCCUGCGAAGCCACGCACAUCUGCAGGUUUGCAGAGGGGAAGCCAACCCAGCGCUGGGCUCCAGCCCUCAGAGAGUCUCUUACACAACCACAGCACAGAUUCACCAUCAACAGCUCUCAGGAGGAAUCUGGGGAGAAACAGCGAGUGCUGCUUUCCACUACCAGGACAAUUUUCACUUCCAUUUCCUCGCUUGCUGGUGCUUAGCGUGCUGCCAGCACAGGGUCAGCGCCCAGCAGGCCAGGCUGGCAAGAACAACUGCUGCUGGGGGCUUCUACAUCCUACAAAGAGCCUGGAAAUUGCUAUAUGAAACGCUUCUCAGUGCCCAAAACAUUAACACACAUGCGCGUACACACACACGAUAAUCCCCAUUCUUUGUUAACAAACAACACUCUGGAGUUUAAGACGGAAGGAACGAGUGGGUUCAUUAUUUAAGUCCAAGUGAUUUGUAGAGUUUAAGACGGAAGGAACAAGUGGGCUCGUUAUUUAAGCCGAAGUGAUUCCUCUCAGCUGCUUCCCCUCGUUGCUCUAAGGAAGCAGGUACUUACCCAGAGAUGAGGCAGCCGGGCAGACCACGCAGGCGAGGCACCACAAUCCAUCAUGGGGCAGCGUAUGGAAGAGAAAGAAGAAGAGACACCGGUUAAUAAGCAGUUCCAGCCAAACACGAAAACCCCCAAACACGCCAGAAAAAUCCCUCCAGCCGCCCAGCAAGUGCUCACACUUGUACUCGAUGCGAGCGCCGCGGCAGCGUUCGCGUAAGCGAACUUGAGCGUCUGACUUUCCCCAGAACAGAAGGUGGAACCGGACGUUCACGUUGGGCCACUUCUUAGAAAUGUAAACACGAAGCAGGGAAGGGGAAAAAAAAAAAAAAAGUAGCCUGGCGUUACUUAACGCUGAUAAUGCAGCGAGCGGUGACGCUGACGUCCUGCGUCCAGCACCCUCCUGGGAGCCCCAGGAGGUGGCACAGCACGGCCCCGGCACCGCCAAGCUGGAGAAGGGGAGAGCUCUGGCCGAGGCUGCAGACCGGCUUCUCUGGGGCCGUCCAGUUCCUCCAGCCUUGCAUAACUUCUCUUUUAGACCUCACCAGGCAGGGGGUGGACACACAGCGUGCCUCCGGCCCCAAUUCCAAAGGGCUUCAGCUGAGCCCUCUAGUGGGCUUUAAAAACUCAACAAAACACCCACAGACCUAAUUUAAUUAACGCUCUGCCAGAGGCCUCUAAACCCUAAUCCUCUCAACAAAAGGUUCAUUAACUAAAUGAAGAGAUCCAAGAGAGCAACGGGUCCCUCAGCCACAGCCAGCCCGGCUGCGUGCUCCGGCGGCACACGCCAGGGCCCACGAGGGGCUCCAAAAUGUGGCUCGGUCCUCAGCCCCAGCACAGCCCGGCCGGGGAGCUGCUCAGACACGAGUGCACUGACACGGGCGCACACAGCAGAGUUCACGGCAUGCAUGGGAUGCUCAGCAUGAUGCCACGCCAGAGGGACACGCGUAAGUUCGUGCUUGCCCUUUGGGAUGUGUCCACGGGACGUCACACCCGCCACACGAUGCUGAAGGUCCCUGGGCUGUCAUCUCCAGCGAGACUGAAGCCCCCAACAGCUGGAACAGGAGGACUUGGAGCCAGGGCACUGGUUGUUUUUAAGGGUUUAUUUUUAAGAGUUGUUAUCCAUUGGUGUGGAAAGCCUGGCGAGCAGGUGAAGAAGAGCUCUCCUGUCAAGAGGCAGCCUCGGCCCUUCAACUGAGGGCUGGGAAAACACCUCCACCUCACCCAGCCCUGCCAGCAGGAAGGGUUUUCCUCGCAGCAAGAGGCAAGGUGUACGUUGGCAGAGAAAUUUACAGCACACAAGGGUGCAGUCCAUUAAGGUACACUCCGGGAAAAGCCUUUUAAAUCCAAGGUUCCCAGCCCACAUGACUUGCCCCGAUGGGAUGGAGAUUUGGGUUUGCCCCCUGCAGAUGUCUCUCCGAAAGCCACCUCCAGUUUCCAAGCCACACGUGGGACUCAGAGCGCUGUGGCUGCAAGGAGCACAUCCGCGAGACUGCUCAUUAGCACGGUGAGCAGGAGCAGAAGAGCUUAAUUACAGGGCAGGGAUUGUUCCCUCUGGGUUCUUGUGUGGGCGGCAGCCCCAGCAGAGGCCGUGCAGCCCCAUGGGACGGGUGUUCCUCGACAGAGCCGGGCCCUGCAGCAGCCUCUGCCCGUGCCACACGCGGGGCCCGCGGUCACCAGGAGCCUGGCCAGGGCUCUUGCAAGCAGCUGCAGAGCCUCAACCCACAACUUGAGAACCCAAAAGGAGGAAGACUUCAGGCGUUGCUUGCUAAAACGCUUCUGGCAGCAGCAGCCUGCACGGGUCUCUUUGGAGAGGCUGCUGCAGCCCACCUACAGGUACCGGUACCUGGUUUCACAGCUACGGGCGAGCACCCCUGUCUGAGGAGCUCGGUCUCAGCAGGAGCUCCUAAAGCCCAAAGCUGAGCUCCAGCCGUGGUGCUCACCGGGGCAAGGGAUGCAGCACCUGCCGGAGGGGCAGGCUCACACCCCAGAGGCUGCUGCAGCCCGGGGCUGGGCUUUUAGGAUGGCCAGGAGACGUUUCAGCAUGCUGCCUCUCCCCAGACCAACACAGCCUGACCUGGAGGGACCUCGCAGCCCUCUAGGCACCAUCACGGAGCCUCACUGGAAAGCAUUCGUGAAGACCCUCAUUUUCAGUAAAUGCGUUUUGGGGACAGACGCUGACACACAGAGGCUUCCUUGCCUGAAGGUGCGGGAACAACUGUUCCCAGAGCUAAUGAGGCUGUCCUGCUUUGACCCGGGGCAGUUUUCAACAGACACAGAAUAAACAGUCCUCUCCGCAUUCGCCUCCUGGAAUAAAUCCCAAGAGCUCCCGUCUCCCCGGCCCAGGCAAGAACACAGAUGGUCGCGGAGAUUAAAACAUAGAGAAUUAACAGCCCCGUGCAAAUGAGCUCCUUCAUCCAGCCCAGCACUGCCAGGUGGUUGGAGGUACAGCGCUGGGAUACAGUCACCAAGGCCUGCUGAGCUCCGCCAACAGCCCCAAAUUCAGCAGCACAGGGGCCAGAGAGCUGGGAAAUUCGAAGGCAGUUGCAGGGGAAGCGAGAUGCAAACUGCCAGAGCCGUGCAGCUGCAGAGCCGCACCUGCCUCCUGCUGCAGCAGUGGGGGAAAAGCACCGGCACUAGGAAAAAGGAGCACGGACCCAUCCUGCGCUUGGCUCUCUUUGUACUUUCCCACCAAAAGCCAGCUCGGGUGGAUCAAAGGGCGCCGUGAGCCGCAUGCGACCGCGAGGGCUUCCCCGCCGCCGGGACACGGGGUGCUGCGGGCUGGCAGCAGGCAGCGAGGGAAACCCACACCGGCCCCGCCGCCGUUCCUAGAAGGAAUCUGUCAGCACUGCACAGCCGGCGAGGAUCGGACCGGCACGCGGGGCUGAGCAGCAUUCCUGAUCCAGGUAACAUGUGCCAGGCUGCCUCCAGCGGGGACGCCGCUCCUGAGCCCGCUGCCAUUCCCAGCGACAGCUCCAAACCCUAUUUUAUUUUUCUUCAAAACCAGGUGAAAAAUCAGGAAGGAGCGGACUUCUCGCCCAGCCGCCAGGCAGUAUUUCUCAGGGACAGCUCUCGGGUUAGGCAACGGCUCACACAACUGCAUUUUCUAUUAAAAGCCUCCACUCUGCAUCCGAGGAAAUCCCCAGGCGGCGCCGACCCCAUCUGCCAGCCCGCAGCGGGGCCUCGCAGCCGCAGAUUGGAGGAGGCCGACCCGCGCCAUACGGGAGCGGCUUACCCCCACGGCGGGCACGCGCGCCUGCAGCACAGCACCAACACGGCCGCACCGAGUCACGUUCCAGCCCAACGUGGCGCGGGGCCGGGCCGGCUUCUGCCUCUGCUCCUUGCGUGUUCAGUGUUUGAGCUCGUGCAGAUGCACAGAGGCGACUCCGGACGGGCGCUCGCCCUGAUACAAGCUCCUGAUGCAGGGGGAGAGCUCUCCUGGGUUUUGAAAUGCCAAGAAACGCUUACCCCAUCCCCAAGGACUUUUAGAGAGCAGGUACAGAAAUACAAGCCCCUAAAGGCCGGUGCCGCCUGGCGAGCAGCUAAACCAUCGCUGCAGCUGGGGGGCAGCAACCAAGCAGGGGUCAGCUCGCAGAGGCAGCCUUCAAAUGCUUUGAUGCAGCUGCUUUAACAGCUAAGGGCUGCAACGAUGCUCCGGGCACUGGUCCACUGCGGCUCCCAGCCAUGCCGAGCAGGGCUCAGCACCGAUACCAGGUUCGCCAGGCUGUGAGCAAGCUCCGAGCUGCUCUGCAUCUCCCAGGAGGCUGCAACACCUCCAACCCACCGCCGUGGCAGCGGGGUCACUCCAGAGACUCGCAGCACGCGGCCAGCCUCACGCCCCCUGCUCAAAUCCCGCUCAGGUCAAGCGUGGCCAGAUGUAAUUACCUACACGAGGGGAGCUAGAGGCUGCCUCUGAUCAGGGGAUGUGUUUGUGCCGUCAGGCCUAGGUUCCUUCUGUUUUGCUGCUUACUGGGAUGCCAAAAGCUGCCUCUUGCUAAGCGGACCAGCAAGAACUUAACCUCAUUCCUCGCCACCAAACAAGACUUUCUCAGGAGCUGCAGGGAAACGCCGGUUCCUUAGUCACCCAUUUACAAACAGGAGCAGAGAACAUUUUAAUAGGAUUCAUUAAUUUAAUUGAAUAGCGCAGAGGACGUCAGAAGCUUUAUUUGUGUUGGCAAAGGGCUUUAGGAUGAGCCAAUGGAAGAGCAGGGGCAGGCCCUGCAACCUGAAGCACUUCUGAGGGGCCAGGCGCCGCCGAGCCCGCGGGCUGGAGCGGGGCUGGGUCGCCUUCCAAGCUCCCUUCCAACCUCUCCGCCUCAAAACCCCCAGCGAGGGACAGCUUCAGAGCCUUCCCUCUCCAAGGACAGCAGGGUGAGGCUUGGGCAACGCAAACCCAUUUCACCUGGCCCCGUCUGCGCCCGACCAGACUCGGCACGGGGGCCCAGCUGGUGCGUGUGCGUGCACCGCUCCCGGCGCUCCGCAGGCACGGCCGAUGGUUCAGGCUUUUCUCCAGGGGUAUCGGGAGGGGACAGCAGACAAACCAUGCUAAUUGGAUAGACGAAGAGUCCUCUGCAGCCCUAUAAAGCUGCGAGCAGCUGCUCAAAACCUCUUGUGAGCAACAAAAAUAGUUUCAUCUAAGGAGAAGGCGCGGAUUAAACGCCACAAACGCCCUUUUCUUUUCGCUACGGGCAGUUCUCCCCACUGCAGUC